rnacentral:rRNA from 2 species
GGUUAAGCGACUAAGCGUACACGGUGGAUGCCCUGGCAGUCAGAGGCGAUGAAGGACGUGCUAAUCUGCGAUAAGCGUCGGUAAGGUGAUAUGAACCGUUAUAACCGGCGAUUUCCGAAUGGGGAAACCCAGUGUGAUUCGUCACACUAUCAUUAACUGAAUCCAUAGGUUAAUGAGGCGAACCGGGGGAACUGAAACAUCUAAGUACCCCGAGGAAAAGAAAUCAACCGAGAUUCCCCCAGUAGCGGCGAGCGAACGGGGAGCAGCCCAGAGCCUGAAUCAGUGUGUGUGUUAGUGGAAGCGUCUGGAAAGGCGUGCGAUACAGGGUGACAGCCCCGUACACAAAAAUGCACAUACUGUGAGCUCGAUGAGUAGGGCGGGACACGUGGUAUCCUGUCUGAAUAUGGGGGGACCAUCCUCCAAGGCUAAAUACUCCUGACUGACCGAUAGUGAACCAGUACCGUGAGGGAAAGGCGAAAAGAACCCCGGCGAGGGGAGUGAAAAAGAACCUGAAACCGUGUACGUACAAGCAGUGGGAGCACGCUUAGGCGUGUGACUGCGUACCUUUUGUAUAAUGGGUCAGCGACUUAUAUUCUGUAGCAAGGUUAACCGAAUAGGGGAGCCGAAGGGAAACCGAGUCUUAACUGGGCGUUAAGUUGCAGGGUAUAGACCCGAAACCCGGUGAUCUAGCCAUGGGCAGGUUGAAGGUUGGGUAACACUAACUGGAGGACCGAACCGACUAAUGUUGAAAAAUUAGCGGAUGACUUGUGGCUGGGGGUGAAAGGCCAAUCAAACCGGGAGAUAGCUGGUUCUCCCCGAAAGCUAUUUAGGUAGCGCCUCGUGAAUUCAUCUCCGGGGGUAGAGCACUGUUUCGGCAAGGGGGUCAUCCCGACUUACCAACCCGAUGCAAACUGCGAAUACCGGAGAAUGUUAUCACGGGAGACACACGGCGGGUGCUAACGUCCGUCGUGAAGAGGGAAACAACCCAGACCGCCAGCUAAGGUCCCAAAGUCAUGGUUAAGUGGGAAACGAUGUGGGAAGGCCCAGACAGCCAGGAUGUUGGCUUAGAAGCAGCCAUCAUUUAAAGAAAGCGUAAUAGCUCACUGGUCGAGUCGGCCUGCGCGGAAGAUGUAACGGGGCUAAACCAUGCACCGA